AACGAACGCUGGCGGCAUGCCUAACACAUGCAAGUCGAACGAGACCUUCGGGUCUAGUGGCGCACGGGUGCGUAACGCGUGGGAAUCUGCCCUUGGGUUCGGAAUAACAGUUGGAAACGACUGCUAAUACCGGAUGAUGACGUAAGUCCAAAGAUUUAUCGCCCAAGGAUGAACCCGCGUAGGAUUAGCUAGUUGGUGAGGUAAAGGCUCACCAAGGCGACGAUCCUUAGCUGGUCUGAGAGGAUGAUCAGCCACACUGGGACUGAGACACGGCCCAGACUCCUACGGGAGGCAGCAGUGGGGAAUAUUGGACAAUGGGCGAAAGCCUGAUCCAGCAAUGCCGCGUGAGUGAUGAAGGCCUUAGGGUUGUAAAGCUCUUUUACCCGGGAUGAUAAUGACAGUACCGGGAGAAUAAGCUCCGGCUAACUCCGUG
rnacentral:rRNA from 1 species